GUUGUGUUUUCCCCUUCCUCUUCUCUUUGCCUGAGCAGAAUUAAAAGCGUGAUAAGCAGCACCACUGGAAUGGUUCUCAUCCACAGUCCUGCAACUGGCUAAACAAAGCGCCCUUGGAGGCACAUCUGUUACAGAGCCACGGGCAAAUUCAUCAUCUCUUUAAGCCCUGUCCUGCUCUUGAAUGGCAAGUUCAGGCUGGUCUCCACUGAGGCUGGUAGUACAGGACUGCUUACAGCAAGACAUUUGUACGCACAACGCACUUCAAAGUCACCAGCCCCGGCCAGACAAUGCAACGCAGCAGCCUGGCACCAGCUUCUGCUAGGACAGCAGAAUGAAAUUCAGAGCUGCUGACUUGUAAGCAAAGCAAGAGCAGGAUGCAUCAUAAACCUAGGUCACAGCAUCUGUACCUCGCUGGGUGCAUGUGGCAGAGCAUGCUUUCCCUGCCUCCAGGAGCACCUUGCUGGGUUUUUUUUCCUCCCUAUCCUGCCUGUCAGCACUUUCAAACUGACAACCCUGUGACUAAAGCAGCCUUUUAGCUACAUCACUCACUGCUGGAAGGGGAGGCAGAGCCAGCCCUGCGUUUACUCUUUGUUUUACCUAUGGAUAUGUACAUCCCACACCCACUCAGCCAUGUAUGAGCACAGGGAGACGUUUGGAACAAAGGAAAAGCUAAGGAAGGAGGUGCAUUGUUGUCCUUCCACUGCCACACCGAACCCCUUGGCGGACAGAGCGCAGCUAAAACCCGUAUCGUUCGCCUUCGCUUUCCCAGCGCUGAGAUUCCUCUGCCUCUGUACUCCAGGAAGGCUUAAGGUAAAAACAACCAUUCAAAAAAAAAAAACCCAAACCAACCCCAAAACGUUUCCUAUUUGUCACAGUUCUGCUGGCAGGGCUGGAGGGUCACAGCCUUGCGAGGUAUCUGACACAGUCUGGUAGGCUGAUACCGCUCCCGCGCUCGCCUAAGUCCAGCACAGCAUAGAUGUAACUCCCAGGAAAUAACUCAGGGUGCAG